UGUCGAGAUUGCUCCAAUACUCCCCUAAUCUCCGGUGUUCUGCUCUAGAUGCCUUGAUCCAUCCUUUCUUUGACGAGUUGUGCGAUCCAAAUGCUCGCUUACCAAAUGGUCGUUUCCUUCCACCAUUGUUUAACUUCAAACCUCACGAACUGAAGGGUGUUCCGGUGGAAAUAUCGGUGAAGCUGAUUCCGGAGCAUGCAAGAAAGCAAUGUCCAUCUCUUGGAUUGUGAUUUUGAUGCAAAAAUUGUAACACG